rnacentral:sRNA from 2 species
GAUGAUAUAACAUGGGAGGAAGACAAAAGACAACGUUAUUUAUGACAAAAGAGGUUAGAAAAGAGAAGAAGAGUAGUCAAACUAAUCCUCAACCCGCUUCAAAAUAAAUUUGCUUAUGACUAGUAGAACUAAAACGAGUAAAGUAGUGUAAAUGAUAACGUAAU